rnacentral:lncRNA from 1 species
GAGAGUGUGUGUGUGUUGUUGUAAUUGAGGAAAAAGAGAGAAGAAUGGAAUUGUGUCUAUGCCUUCAGCCUUGGGAAGGCUUGAUAUUUAUAGGAAGAGAGGUUGGUGAUGUGGAAAGAAAGAGCAUGGGCUCAGCAUGGCUCUUCCCCAAAUGAGGGUGUCAGCCUUGCUUUCUGACAUUCCAAGAUGGGUUUGGUAGAGUUGGUAACACGUGUCGACACUAUGUGGUCUCUUCUUAUUAAAUUAAUUUUUGGCCAUGCCUUCGUGACACGUGAGGAAGGUGGGUGACAGGUAAACCAUUAGCUGACAUGUCUCUAUGCGACUCUUGGACGUCCAAGAGAGAGUUUGAAGGUUGAGGCUCUUAAGCCUUGAAGGUCGAACUCUUGGUCUUGGACGUCGAAGUAUCGACCUUGAAGGUUGAGGUUCUUAAGCCUUGAAGGUCGAACUCCUGGUCUUAGAGGUCGAAGUAUCGACCUUGGAGGUUGAGGCUCUAGACCCAUUUAGACUAUACUUCUCUAAUGAUUCGCUCACAAUAUGCUCUAAUCUUACCACACUAGCUAGAAGGUGAGGUAACCACUUGGUGGCAUGCCAAGACACUUGGUGAUAGUCCAAGAAAGACUUUGGAUGCUAGGUUGGGCAUCUCACUAUUAUUUACGUGUGAGGAUCAUCUUUAUUUCUCGAAUAAUGGUUUGGGUGCUUUGAAAGGUUAGAGUCAUACGUGGAUCUUUGAUAUUUCAACGCUUCCUACGUGGAAUGGGUUGAAAAGUCAAGUUUCGUUGUCAAACCAAAUUAUGACACCAACAAGCCCCCAGUUCCCUAGACAUCCAAGGCCUUUGUUGGAUAGGGAACUCAAUUGGAAGAAGAAUUUGGUGAACCUAAAAAAUUGAGUAAGUGGUUUUUGUUGAAAUGACAAGAGUUGAUUGCAUAUGAAAUCAAUCUUGUCGCGUCGAGGUAAGUUUUCUAGGGUGGAUGACCAUCUUAUUGCUAGCUCAAAGGUUGGGACAAUGAAGGUCCUAAGUGGGUUAUGUCGAUCAUCCUCGACUUCAAGUAAUGAUAUCCUUCAUUGGUGAAGUAGUUCUUCAAAGGAGACUAAAUCCUUGGUGAGUGUCUCGAAUAGAUAAAGAGUUGCACCAUUGUUAAAGGGUGAGCAAGGAUUAAACUUCUUCGUUUUUGUUUCCCUUUGAGUUCUAAAUAUUGACUCUAAUUUUGCAUCUAAGAGCACUAUCCCUACUCUUGCUAAUUCCGCUAAACGAUUAGCAUGAAGUAUAAGGGAAUGUAUGACCUCUAGCUAUUGUUCGGUCUAAAAUACUCACUAUUCGCUUUGGUGAGUGGGUGUCCAAGAGCUGUGAACGCUCUUCAUAAUCCCUAAGACUCACUCAGCUGGUAUGUCAAGUGAGUUGGACCUCGAGGGCACCCUUGAGGAUUGGUCUCAGAGAGACUCUUUUUCUGGUAGCUUAAGUAGGUUACCUUGUGUGCACUCUGUGAAUUGGUCUCGGCUAGCGAGGCUCUUUCAUCUGGUGGCUCAAGUUCAUGAGUGUUGGAUGAUCAAGGGUGUCUAUUAUACAAGCUACUAACUAGUACUACUUUUAUCUUGGAUGGACUUUUGCUGAGAUAGCUAUACCUUUGUGUUCCAAUAAACUUCUAGGAGUUUACGUAAUAGACUUGUGGAACUGGUACUCCAUUUGGUCCGCGUUUGGGCAUUGACACAUGUUCAUCAGUAAUGAGCUGACGUAACAAAAACUGAGUAGUCAUAUGCUUAGCAUGGGGGUCUUUGCCGAAUUGUCGAAUAGAUGGAUAUAUUUUCAUGCUAAUUCGUUUGUGCAAAUUCCGAUCUCAACAUGAUUCAUAGUAUGCAAAUAGUAGAUAGAUAUAUAGUUCUUAUAAGAUAUAACAUUGUACAAGAUAUAUAGAUAUAUAUAGGUUAAUACUUAAUAUAGUUGGGUCCCUUACUGUCACAUCCCGACUCUUAAAUUUUUACCUUAAUUACUAGCUUUGGUAUUUAAUAAGAAUUUUACCGUCUCCGUCAAUGAGGUUAUAGUUUAAUUGGUCCUUAAAAGGGUUUUGGGGGACGAUUAUUUCAGAGAAUUAUGCGUAGGAGAAAAAUGUGACGACGGUAAAAAUAAUAAAUGUUGACUAAUAAAAGGUAAUUUUUUUUUAGUGGUGUAUUAUUUUGUAGGGUUAUUUUGGAGUUGGGUUUAUAUUUUUGGUGUGGUUAUAUUGGUGUUGGACCGGUUUGGGGAGGCCCAAACCAUUUCUCUUCUUUCUCCCUUCUCCUCUUCCUUCUGACGCUAUCUCUCUCUCUCCCGCUGCCAAUUUUUCUUCUCCUCCGGCCGCCGUUGACCGGUUGAGCUAGGCCACCGUACCGGUCACUUUUGGACCGCUGUCCUUCCCUCUCUAGUCCUGGGUUGGUGACUGCCCCUCUCCCGUCGGCAUCUGCAAGUUAUCACGGCAAGGAGUCGUGGUGGUCCUUUCACCGGAACUCUCUCCUCCGGCCACCAUAGUCUAAGCUACUUGACUCAAUAGGAAGCUCUCCUCCCGUGCAUCAAUCCCUCAAAAGGUCUCACCCUCUCUUGAGCUAGGUAAGGAGAAAUAUGGAGUUGAAAAUUCUAGGGCUCAUUUCGAUUACCCUAUCUAGGCUUAGAAUUUGUGUUUGUGCUAGUUAGGAAAGUUGUAGAGGGAGUUGAGAGAAAAAUGCUGUCAAAAUUUGGUAGGCAUUGGAGGUUGCCGGAGUCGGUCUCCGGCCGCCGCCAUUGUUUAGUAGUUGGUUAUAUUAAGGGGAGUUAUUGAUGAGAAUUUUGGAAUUUUUGGAGGAGUUUUGGAUAGGUUUGGGGAUUUUUAAAGCUUAGUAAUUUUGGCGGUUAUUUAAGGUAGAAUCCGGCCGUUAGAUUAAAGUUGUAUAAUCUGUAGAAGGUUGAAUUAAAGCUGCUAGUAUAUUCGGUGAAGUUUGGACCAUAUUGAGUUAAGAAUGGUGAAGUUGGGCAAUGAUGAGUGUGUUUGAGGCUCACAUUUAAUUUUGCCUAUUUUGUGUAAGUUUUGGAUUUUUGGUUGGGAAAUUAAUUAUAUAUUUGGAACAGGACGUGAGGAGGCUCGAGCUGAAGAGGCCUGGGAGCGACAUCAGACUUAGGCCUAUUUUGUGAGUGGACUUUUGUUUUAAUUAAAAGCAUGCGAUGCAUUAUAUUGAUGAUCAUUUAUUCUUUUGCUGAGAUUUAUUGCUUUCUUGGAUAUUUGGCAAUUUUCCUCUUUUGGAAAGUUCCCGAAAAUGAGAUUUUCGGUCGAUAUGUAUAUUGGAUGUUAUGAGUAUAGCAUAUAUAUAAAUGCUAGCUAGCCAUACGUGCUUGGUCCGUCAUAAUGAGGUAAAAUUCCAUUAUGGUGUGACGUGAGUGUUAGACACAAAUGUCAUGGCCCUAUAUGAAAACUACUUUCUUAUUUGGUUCUUAUAGGUUUUCAUAUAGGGAGUCCACACGUAUAAACACCCGUUCUCUUCGGUCAUAAUGAGGAAAAAUUCCAUUGUGGCGCCACAUGAGCGUUUGACGCAAGCGUCGUAGCCUUGUAUGAAUUUCUAUUUUUCUAUUUUGUUCAUAGAAUUCGUACAAAGAGUCUGAUGAGUGUACAUACAUAUAUAUAUAUAUAUAUAUAUAUUUAUAUAUAGUUUAGCCUGAGAGGCUGUAUUUUAUUGAGUUUUGGAGACUGGCCGAAGCUAGUCAUGUAUUUGCCAGUUUAUGAAUAAAAAGCUUUGAGCUGUCGUAUGCAGCAUAUUUUUCUUUGGAAAUUAAAAUGGGAAUGCAUAAAUAUUCACUUAUUAAUUUAUUUUUAUCCACUCAUUCUAACGGUUUCAAAUGUUUUCCCCUGGGCCCUUCGUUUUAAAAUGCCCAGUCUGCAGAGUGCAGGUUGGAUCUAGUAGGAGGCGAGGCAUAGUCACCCAUUUCUCCACCACCUUUCAUCAGUAGGUUACUGUUAACCUACCAACAUAUUUUUCUUGCUUCCUCUAGUUUUAGCGGCUCUGAUUACCUGGAGGAUAAUGUAUAUUAGCUCGGUUGUGUGCUAAGUCUUGGAUUUUAAAUUUGGAAUAUUUGAAGGUUGAAGUUUGUUAUUUCUAAUUGGAUAUUUAUGUGAUGGAUUAGAAGAUGGUUUUAUUAUAUUGUUGUGGUGGUUGUAUUGUGGGGAGCGGGUGGCUCCAGGAGUUGAGGUUGGAUGUGUCAUUAUAGGAGUGUGGUUUGAAUUUUUUCAGGUUAGGGUUGUCUAUUUUUAAGGGAGGUUAUGUCGAAUUUUUCGGUAAGUUUUCCUUGGAGGUGGUCCCUGCAGGACUUACUUUGGGUUUCAGGGUGAAAUUCAGGGUGGGUCUUGACACUGACCUUCUAAGACCAACUUAUUCCUAUUGGUGCUCAAAGAACUUAUCAGUCUUGGCAUGUCGAUCAAGAAAAUCCUUAAGAAUAUGUAGGGUGCAUUGUAAUAACUAUAUUAGGUCUAUUAUUUAAUUGAGAAUAGGGUGUACCGACUGAAACGUAGCUUGCUCCUUUGAAUGUGACUCGUUGCGGAUGGUGUCGCGUGGACAUUCUCUUGGUGUAAGACUGUGGGCUGAACGCUCUUCCUUCUUCUAAGGUUGGCUCUCGUCAAUGAGUUCGACUCGGGUGGUGGUGUUCUAGCAACGCUGAAUUCCAAGAUUGUUCGUCUAGGCAUAUCAAUAUAAAUUGAUUUGGUCCUUGAUGCAUCUUGAUGUGUCAGUUGGCAGAGUGAGUGUCACCGUUGAAUUUAGACCAUGUAGAGGAUGCUCAAGGUCUUUCCACUGGUGGUGCAGAUUUUAUGGCCGUCGGGAGUCUAGCGCACAUUGGCGUUAUGAGCGAGGCCAAUCUCUUAACCAUUAGAUGAUGGUGUAUUGGAACACCAGAAUCAUGGAUGACAUCCUUCUAAAGGAAUUGUGGUUGGCGAUGGUAUGCUUAUGAGGUUGAUCGAUCACCUUGGUGGGCUGUCUUCUAAUGACUUGCAUGUCGAAGGUACAGCCAUUGCCGAGCCUUUAGGGGUCUACUCCACGCCUCGAGUUACCUCUUCAUGUCUUCAAGUGUCGAUCCUUGUUCUUUGUCAUCAGUUUCAACGACAUACUCUUGAGUUGCAUUUCCAUCAUCCUCUUAUUCCACCGUGCGGUAAGGCCUUCUUUGGUGGAAGUUGAAAUUGCCAAUGAAGGUGAAAGGUGAGGGAAACCCACGUCCCUCCCUAGAAGUGGAUUGAUCUUCAGUGGCAUGCGAGCAACAAGGCUCAAGCGUAGCGCUGUUGAUGAAGCAUCACUUGUACGCAUUCGUGCAUUGGUUGUUCGCAUUGUUAGCUACAUCUUAUCAAUGUAAGCUAAAAUCUCUCCAAUCUUUGUUUUGGUGGUGGCCAUUAACGAUAGACUUCUCGCUCCCAUAAGUGGUUCGAGGUACUUGAUACUUCAUUGAGCGGUGGUCGCAUAUCACCAUGGAAUUUGAAGUAGCCUCAUCGACUGUGUGUCUAAGGUUCAUCCAUGUCUUGGUUGGUCGUCAUAUAGUGACUUGGAUGUUGAAGACAGGGUCAUUGUAGCACCUCCAAUGGAGAUAUUCUCCAUGUCAAGUAGCAUGCUUAACAUCCAUGCAAAUUUCUUGAAAACAUCGUUUGUCAAAUCUAUAACCUUCAAUUGGAUCAUCGUCUCCCGACUUACAUUAUAGUGGUGGCGCUCUGAUGAUGAUAAUAUGAUCGUCUCCCUCUAACGAUGAUAGAUAUAAGUGAAGGUGUGCUAGUUCUGCUCAUCUGCCUUCUGGGUUUCUUCCUCGUUGGUGGCAUGUCAGGGAUGUUGAGGGAGUACACAUGACAACUCGGCGUCAAGAGUGGGUUGGCUCAUCUUCCGUUGAAUGGAGGUAUAUGGACUAAGAUUCUUGAAUAUGAAUGUCGAAUAUCCAAGCUCCAAUUAGUGCGGAAGGUGGAAAGCCAUGUUGAUUUGGCAAGCGUUAGUGGAUCUCCUUUCCUUCGCUGCUUGAAAGCGUGGUCUAAUCCUCCUUGUGCUCUUUUUCAUAACCUUGUGCUCUUUCUCAUAUUUGGGUGCAACUCAAAGUCGUAGGCAAGACAUCGAACAUUGAAGCUCUUCUUCUGCUUCUAAGGCUACUCAUAUGCAUGAUGUAACCUUCCUUCUUCAUCGAACAAGUGAGCACGCGCUAAGUGUUCAUUUUCCCACAGACGGCGCCAUUUUGUUGGUGUCGUUUUUUAGUACCAACGGGUUAACGAGAGUUCCGUUGAAAUCAUACGUGUAAAGUGGUGGGGGUAUUCUUUUGUAGCGGGUCUAUCUUCGCCCUUCGGCUAGUUUGACUAUUUCCAUGGUCUUGGUCGUCUAUCUCUGGCUGAUGCCGGAAUUCCGCGUACCACCUUGUGGUGGUCUUCCUCUCCUUGAAGGUGAGCUAGCUUCCUCUACUUCAUUAGUGAACUUUCUCCACUCCUUUGGUAGACUUUCUUCGGCUAGUGUCGGGGUUCCGCGUACCACCUCGUGGUGGGCUUCCUCUCCUUGAGGGUGAGCUAGCUUCCUCUACUCCUUGAAAGCGAGCUAGCUUCCUUGCGCCUUCUUCUUGGCGUUGGACAUCGCCACUUGAUUUGGGUCUUAUCUUCCUCAAGUUGGUGUACUUCCUCCAGCUGAUGUCAGGCUUCCACGUACCACCUCGUGGUGGGCUUCCUCUCUCUUGAAGGUGAGCUAGCUUCCUCUCCUUGAAGGUGAGCUAGCUUCCUCCACUCCUUGAAAGCGAGCUAGCUUCCUUGUGUCUUCUUCUUGGCGUUGGAUAUCUGUCACUUGACUUGGGUCUUCUCUUCCUCAAGUUGGUGGAGUGUCAUUGAAUGACCUGUUGACAUGUGAGCUAGGAGGUUAUCGGAGGACCAGCCUAAAGCCGGCCAAAUACUCUCCGACGCUUAAGUCAGUAAAGUGUUUGAACAAUAAGUAGAGAUUGGAGAAGAAUAAAUAGGACUCAAGUAUAACAUGAUUUUGUGAAAGAAGAUGAAUGAAUGUGCCUAGCAACUAUGCUUUUUGGCAUGGGAGGAGACCCUCUUCAUGUGCCUACAAAGAGAGAUGGAUAUAUAUAUAUAUAUAUAUAUGUAUAUACAGCUCUUCUCGGCUGCGGACGUCCGCACCAACGGUUUUGGUGCGGAUUUCCAUUUUUGCACCACUUUCUGAUCGAAUUUCCUCAUCUCCACCGUAUAGUAUCUAGAUAAUAUUGUGUAGAUCAUAUCUGUAAAAUUUCAGCUAAUUUGGUGAUCGUUAAGGCCCUCAAACUUGAGUUUUUCUGGUAUGAACACAACCGGAUAGAAUUCAGUCCGUCCAUUUGUUUUUCGAGUUUGAAGACCUUAACGAUCACCAAAUUGGCUGAAAUUUUGCAGAGAUGAUCUACACAAUAUUAUCUAGAUACUAGACGGUAGAGAUGAGGAAAUUCGAUCAAAAAGUGGUGCAAAAAUGGAAAUCCGCACCAAAAAAUUGGUGCGGACGUCCACAGCUGAGAAAAUCCGUAUGUAUAUAUAUAUAUGUAAGUAUAUACACAUACAUAUAUAUAUAUAUAUAUAUAGAGAGAGAGAGAGAGAGAGAGAGAGAGAGAGAGAGAGAGAGUGUGUGUGUGUGUGUGUGUGUUGUUGUUGUAAUUGAGGAAGAAGAGAGAAGAAUGGAAUUGUGUCUAUGCCUUCAGCCUUGGGAAAGCUUGAUAUUUAUAGGAAGAGAGGUUGGUGAUGUGGAAAGGAAGAGCAUGGGCUCAGCAUGGCUCUUCCCCAAAAUCAGGGUAUCAGCCUUGCUUCCUAACAUUCCAAGAUGUGUUUAGCAGAGUUGGUAACACGUGUCGACACUAUGUGGUUUCUUCUUAUCAAGUCAGUCUUGAGCCAUGCCUUUGUGACACGUGAGGAAGGUGGGUGAUGGGUAAACCAUUAGCAGACAUGUCUCUAUGCGACUCUUGGACGUCCAAAAGAGAGUUUGAAGGUUGAGGCUCUUAAGCCUUGAAGGUCGAACUCUUGGUCUUGGAGGUCGAAGUAUCGACCUUGGAGGUUGAGGCUCUAGACCCAUUUAGACUGUACUUCUCUAAUGAUUUGCUCACAAUAUGCUCUAAUCUUACCACGCUAGCUAGAAG